rnacentral:lncRNA from 1 species
CGACGAUGACUAUACUUCCAGGAAAAGUAUGGAACAAGGAGAGAUGAAUGGAGGAUAAGGCCAACAGUGUCAUCAAGCCAUUGAUAAUUGCUGAAGGCGUGAUGGCCACAUUCAUGGGCUAUGACCCAAACUCCAGUUAAGAAACAGCCUUGAACGAAACCAUAGAUUGCCCAGGCCACAUAAGAGAAAGGAUGGGGGAGGAGGUGUAUGUAAUUGGUGGCAAUGUAGUAAAGGAUGGAGGCAAUAGUCAGGUCGUAAACAACAUAAGAGAAAGAACGGAUGACAGAUCGCUGAAAACAAUGUGGUGGAAUGGCCUUUUUGAUGUCUCCAACAGUAAAUGGAGGUUUUGCGACUGGAACUCGUUCAAGAACUUCCUCUUGUGACUUUUUAACCUUAGGAUC